CUAUGCCUCGAACUGCGAGUUUGCUGCCACCAAAUGCCCACAAAAUUCAACUGUACUAAAGUCAUUGAGAAAUUCCAAUGCAACAAGAAGUGGGAUCUCCGCCUGCAAGGAGUUAUAAUUGUCAUGCAGGCUGCUGGAAUCAACCAUCGAUAAGAAUUUAGUGUUGAGGGCUGCAGUAGUUAGCUGCUACGCUUGCUCUCCGGUAGCUGUUAAACAACAGACAAGAAGCUCUUUAAAAAUCUAAAGCAAGAUGGUUCGGACAUAGCUGAAGAAUCUAUUGCGCGGUACUAUUCAAAUAAGGCUAGAGCAACGCGAUAUUUCACCCGGGCAUCUGCCUAAGCCAUCCAAGAGGAAUAUGACAUCCCUUCAUUCUUAUUUCUCUAUAAACAAUUUGGAUCUACACAAAUUUUUGAUGAUGUUAUUUGCACAAAGAACUUAUCCACUGAUUCUAGAAUCUAGGUGCACAUAGAAUUGCCCAUCACAUUUUGAAAUUUGAACAUAAUUGCAACGGAAGUAGAGUUUGUACUAUACAUUUUCUCUAGUCCAAUGCUUUUAUGUUGUCCCAUUCCAUUUUGCGUUUUGUUCAUCUGUAAACAACCUACUAGCGCUGCAUGUUUAAAGGAAAGUAUAUUGGU